GUCUCGGUAGCUUAGUUGGUAAAGCACUAGUCUAGCAUACAAUAGUCGUGGAUUCAAAUCCCACCUGAGAACA
rfam:Aedes aegypti strain Liverpool supercont1.90 genomic scaffold, whole genome shotgun sequence.